UCCGGCUUAACGCCGGCAGUUUCUUUAGAGUGCCCAGCCGAACUGAUGGCAACUAAAGAUGAGGGUUGCGCUCGUUGCGGGACUUAACCCAACAUCUCACGACACGAGCUGACGACAGCCAUGCAGCACCUGUCACCGGUCCAGCCGAACUGAAGGGUACAUCUCUGUACCCGUUAACCGGGAAGUCAAGGCCUGGUAAGGUUCUUCGCGUUGCCUCGAAUUAAACCACAUGCUCCACCGCUUGUGCGGGUCCCCGUCAAUUCCUUUGAGUUUUAAUCUUGCGACCGUACUUCCCAGGCGGGAUGCUUAAUGCGUUAGCUGCGACACUGAGGGACAAAGCCCCCCAACAUCUAGCAUCCAUCGUUUACAGCGUGGACUAC
rnacentral:misc_RNA from 1 species